AGCCUGAACGCUGGCGGCGUGGUUAAGACAUGCAAGUCGAACGGAUGUAGCAAUACAUCAGUGGCGGACGGGUGAGUAAUGUAUCGCUAAUGUACCCCGGAGACAGGGAUAGCUGCCCGAAAGGGCAGGUAAUACCAGAUGAUAUAACCUUAUCGCAUGAUGAGGUUCUCAAAUGUAGCAAUAUGCUCUGGGCGCAGGCAUAUCGUAUCAGGCUAGUUGGUGAGGUAACGGCUCACCAAGGCGACGACGCGUAGCUGGUCUGAGAGGACGACCAGCCACAUUGGGACUGAGACACUGACCCAGACUCCGUACGGGGGCUGCAGUAACGAAUCUUCGCAAUGCAACGAAGUGUAGACGGAGCGACGCCGCGUGUAGGACGAAGCCGUUCGGGUAGUAAACUACGUGUACGUAGGGUUAACC
rnacentral:rRNA from 1 species